rnacentral:rRNA from 1 species
UACGGAGGGGGCUAGCGUUGUUCGGAAUUACUGGGCGUAAAGCGCACGUAGGCGGACUGGUAAGUCAGGGGUGAAAUCCCGGGGCUCAACCCCGGAACUGCCUUUGAUACUGGCAGCCUUGAGGUCGAGAGAGGUGAGUGGAACUCCGAGUGUAGAGGUGAAAUUCGUAGAUAUUCGGAAGAACACCAGUGGCGAAGGCGGCUCACUGGCUCGAUACUGACGCUGAGGUGCGAAAGUGUGGGGAGCAAACAGG